rnacentral:misc_RNA from 1 species
UUUAACAUUAAAAAUAAUUAUAAUGUUCUCAUUAUUAUAUAUUAUUGAUUCAAUAUUCACAAAACAAAAACAAUCUACAAUGGAACCACCUACAAGUUCUUGUAUAAUGGGAACUGUAGAGAACUAUAAAAGCCAAGCUGCAGAUAGACCACAUAGAAUAUAGAGACCUCCUAAACAUUUGAUGAUUGUUUAGGCAGCAGCAACCAGGACAGCAUUGGAGUGAUUCCAUCACUCGUAUUACAAUUCACUCAUGCCAAAACCACCAAACGAGGCCGCCAAGUAAAAGGCCAUCACGCAUCAGAAUACAUGAUACCCCAAAAUCAACAAAAUACAAAAAGACUUGAAUAAUAAUGUCCAAAC